UCAGGACGAACGCUGGCGGCGCGCCUAACACAUGCAAGUCGAACGGAGUUGUGUUGAAAGCUUGCUGGAUAUGCAACUUAGUGGCGGACGGGUGAGUAACGCGUGGGUAACCUGCCUCAUACAGGGGGAUAACAGUUAGAAAUGACUGCUAAUACCGCAUAAGACCACAGCACCGCAUGGUGCAGGGGUAAAAACUCCGGUGGUAUGAGAUGGACCCGCGUCUGAUUAGCUAGUUGGUAAGGUAACGGCUUACCAAGGCGACGAUCAGUAGCCGACCUGAGAGGGUGACCGGCCACAUUGGGACUGAGACACGGCCCAAACUCCUACGGGAGGCAGCAGUGGGGAAUAUUGCACAAUGGGGGAAACCCUGAUGCAGCGACGCCGCGUGAGUGAAGAAGUAUUUCGGUAUGUAAAGCUCUAUCAGCAGGGAAGAAAAUGACGGUACCUGACUAAGAAGCCCCGGCUAACUACGUGCCAGCAGCCGCGGUAA
rnacentral:rRNA from 1 species